rnacentral:rRNA from 1 species
AUUGAACGCUGGCGGCAGGCCUAACACAUGCAAGUCGAACGAGUGGCGGACGGGUGAGUAAUGUCUGGGAAACUGCCUGAUGGAGGGGGAUAACUACUGGAAACGGUAGCUAAUACCGCCUACCAUCAAAUGUGCCCAGAGGGGAUUAGCUAGUUGGUGGGGUAACGGCUCACCAAGUCGACGAUCCCUAGCUGGUCUGAGAGGAUGACCAGCCACAGUGGAACUGAGACACGCUCCAAACUCCGACGGGAGGAAGCAGUGGGAAAUAUUGCACAAUGGGCGAAAGCCUGUUGCAGCCAUGCGGCGUGUAUGAAGAAGGCCUUCGGGUUGUAAAGUACUUUCAGCGGGGAGGCGUUACCCGCAGAAGAAGCACCGGCUAACUCCGUGCCAGCAGCCGCGGUAAUAC